ACGAAGGGGGCUAGCGUUGCUCGGAAUCACUGGGCGUAAAGGGUGCGUAGGCGGGUCUUUAAGUCAGGGGUGAAAUCCUGGAGCUCAACUCCAGAACUGCCUUUGAUACUGGGGAUCUUGAGUCCGGAAGAGGUAAGUGGAACUGCGAGUGUAGAGGUGAAAUUCGUAGAUAUUCGCAAGAACACCAGUGGCGAAGGCGGCUUACUGGUCCGGUACUGACGCUGAGGUGCGAAAGCGUGGGGAGCAAACAGGA
rnacentral:rRNA from 1 species